GAUCCGGCUCAGGAUGAACGCUGGCGGCGUGCCUAACACAUGCAAGUCGAGCGAUUCUCUUCGGAGAAGAGCGGCGGACGGGUGAGUAACGCGUGGGUAACCUGCCCUAUACACACGGAUAACAUACCGAAAGGUAUGCUAAUACGAGAUAACAUAAGAGAUUCGCAUGGAUUUCUUAUCAAAGCUUUUGCGGUAUAGGAUGGACCCGCGUCUGAUUAGCUAGUUGGUGAGGUAACAG
rnacentral:rRNA from 1 species